rnacentral:lncRNA from 1 species
UGGAAACAUAAUCAUACUGAAAAUAUAAAUAGAUAAUAUUGAUAAAGCUUCAAAAUCUGAUAAAUCUGAAGGAUGAAACUGAAAUUACAUGACUGACUAUGACUGACAUCUAUAAAGCCUCUACUAUACCGACUAUGGAUAGCUGGGACAUGCCUCCAACUACCACUAAUCAAUACACAUGAAAGUAAAUCAACUCUACAUGAACUAAAACUAUCUGGAGUUCCCAAAUUAGGAGAACUCAUCACCUGUUGGCUGGAAUCUAGAACUGUCUGAUCAUGAUAUGUAGGCUAUAACUGGUACCAACAUUGUGAAAUAGUGUAGCCACACAGACGUAUAUGUGGAUCGGUACUUCUGAAAUAUAUUAAGUAUGCAGGGGUGAAUGAAAUAAGUAAAAUUGACUUCAUACGUAAUCAUAAAACAUGCAUGCUAAGUGUAACUAGACUUACCAAUAGGAUGGAAUAAACUGAAAACUGAAAUAUCUUAAAGCAUGAGUGGCAAACAUUCUCUGAUAAGAUGGUGAAUCUCUACACUUAGUUUCUUUAAAAUAUUACUUUAAUGAUAUAAGUAUAACUAAAGCUGGGAUAUGAUAAAACAUGGAUACUGUAUGAAUACUGGGCCUGAAACUACAUGAUGGAGAAUGACAUAAAUUAAGGAUCUGAAUAUACAAUCACACUGAGCACGAAUGCAUAAACAUACUAACUUAUCUGAUUAAAUGAAUGCUGGAUAGCUGAAUACUAGGCAUGUAAGACUGAACUGUACUUACUCUGAAUAACUGAACUGAAACUGUAGAGUAUUAUGCAUAUGAGUUAAGGACUGACUGACUAAUAUGAGAUAACUGAGAAUGAAUUCAUGAAAACUAUAUUAUUUGAGAAUGCAAGACCAAGCAUAGAACAUGAUUCUCUAAUAGUCUGUAAAUUGAGGUAUUGAAAUACUGAUAACCGAAUAACUGAUAAUUGUAUGAUAUGGUCAAGCAAACCUGAAAUUGAACAGAGUUACUGAUCUGAUUACUCGACUGAGACUGAGACUGAGAUUGUAACUAAGAUGGUAACUGAGGCUAUAAUUGAGACUCAUAUUGGAACUGAAUAUUGAGUUUUGAUAAUUAAGUAACUGAUAGCUUCGAUUACUGAUAACUGGGUGACUAUUUUUUACAGCCCUAAUUCUGUAGAACUGAACUGAGUUCUAUACUGAGCCUGAAACUAAAACUAAAACUGUGGGAAGUAAUCAUCUAACCGAUAUGCCUCUCUCUGAAUGGAUUGGGGUCCAAUCUAUAACCUCAGUUGGAAGGGUGUCAGUACUGUGCCAUGGUUAAAGACAAAGUUAUGAGUUAACCCUCUCUGACAGAAAGACAUUUCAUCAACCCUUGCUGGCAGAAAAACUUAUAUGAGAUGUAUUAACACUAGUUUGGAAGGAAGAUAUCUCAACCUAUGCUAGCCACAUAGUUCUGUAAUGCAGGAAUUGCAACUAAGGGUCAAACCCUCUGCUGGCAGGAAUGCCCCCUUCCCUUAGUUCGCUCGAAGCUGAUUCCUACACCCAACUAAAUAGACACUAACUAAUUUUUAGACGGUACUAGAAUUGACUAAACUGUUACUGAUCAUGUUGCCUAACUGAACUAAACUAAGUUUACUGGGUCCCGCUAACUGACAAAAUACUAUUGAGUUCUGUUAACUGACUGAGUUCACUGAAUUCUGAACUGAAUACUACUGAUCGUGACAUUACUAAGACUAUUUUGUAACUACUGUAGCUCUAGGUAAAAAGCUAGAUUUUUGGGUAUUGAAUACCCCCAGGACUCGAUAGCAUGAAAAGUAAAGCAUAACAUAAUCUUGAAAAGUAUAACCAUAGUUAAUUGUUCACAAUUUAUUUGUUGAGACAUUUUAUCAAACACUUGGAGCUUAUGGACUUGUACAUAGAUGAGAACACAUGGUAACGUGUCAUGAUUACCUUAUUCAAUUCACAUGGGCAUUCUAUCAAGCACGUGGAGAUUAAUACUUUAAUAUGUGUAAUUCGCCAAACACAUGGGGAUGUUGAACUUGGACAUGAGAAUAUCUUAAACAUGGGAGCAUAGCAUGAUUACAUAACUAAAAUCGUGAAUUGGAGAAUUCACAUAUAAUUCACUUGAUAUAGGACAUGGGUAUUUCAUCAAAACAUGCAAAGUUCAUAACUUGAGCAUAAGAAUGUCUUAAUCAUGAAGGAAUAAUAGAGAUACAUGGAAAAAUUCAUAACUUGGGUAUUCAUCUUGAAAUUGACUUAACGUGAUAUGGAAAUUUCAUCAGACAUAUGGAAGGCAUGAAUUUAAAACAUGGGAAUAUUGCUAAACAUCAUGAAUUUAGAAUCUAUCAUGUAAUUUACUUGAAUAAAGCAUGGAAAAUUCAAAUUCAUAGCAUGAGGAAUUUAAAAUCUUUCAUGAAAUCAUACAUGGGAUGAAUUGAAUUAAAAACGUCAUGAAAACAUGAAAUUCAAUCUUUCUUGAAACAUACAAAAUACCAUAGUAAUGGAAAACUCAUUCUUUAAUUAAAAGAAAUGAGUUUUUGGGCUCUAUGGGUGAAAGAGGAGCAUGGAUGAACUCCCACAUACCUUAAAGCUUUAAUCUUGAAGGAGAAACACAAUCUUGAAAGCAUUCUAGAAUUAGGAAACUUGAGUUCUUGCUUUUAUUAAAGAAAUAUUGAUGAAGUUCUUGGUGUUCUUGAGGAGGCUAGGGUUUUUCUUUGAGAGAAAAGAUGAAUAAUUGAGUGUAUAUUUCUUUUGGGGACUGAAAUUAAGUGUUAUGGGCAGAUUUUGGUGAGGAAAAAUGACCAAAGUACUCCUAGACCCUUUAAAAACUGAAAUAGCAUGUGAAAUAAUUCCGUAACGUACAUGCCGACGCAUCACGUCGCUAUCGCAUUGGCUUACUGCCUCAUAUGGAAAAUGCCAUUCCUUUUUGCUCAGGUAUUGAAUUUAGGCAAAAUUGGUAUCGUUGGAAAGCUAAUUCAAUUAUCUAUAAUUUGGUGGGUCUUGAGCUGUAAAAUUCUACGUAUAUAAAAUUUGGUGGGUCUUGAGCUGUAAAAUUCUACGUAUAUAAAAAUUUAUAUACGUUUAAAGUAGACCCUUGUAGAAUCGAAUACCAAACUUUGGAUCAAUCAAAGGCUCUAAGCUCAACUUUGUUCUAAUUGAUUCUUAUGAAUAUUUUCCACCUCAAAAGCAAAUCAAACAUGAAAAUAAAGAUCAUGAGACUUAUAUUUACAUGGUAAUCAUUUAGAUUAUAGCCUAUACAUAUAGGAAUGACGGUUCAAAGACUAGCCCAGAAAUGUGGGUAUUACAGUGCAUAGGCAUGGUGAAUGAAGUAGGGAAUUGUGAUUUUCCCAAAAUUGUGACUUUUAAAGUGGUUAUAACCCCAACCCCAUAUUGUAAAAUUAGUUUUAAUUAUGAGAAAUGUGGGAAUUUAAUUAUCCUUGAACUAUUGCAUAAUAGUUUUGAAUUGAACCUUGUGGAUUUUAUGUUUUCACAAGCUAUGGCAUAUUUGAACCAAGGGGGUUGUGAAUUCUCCAAGUGAUGUAAUUGUUUUGUCAUGUUGAUGUUACCGUGCAAGUAUAGUUGGUAUGGCGAUACCAACAAUGUAUUCCUUAAUGUGUGAUAUGGUUCAAUGAAUGGGAAUAUGUGAUAAAUAUUUUAAUUGGGCUUUAAUGAGGGUUGUGUAGCUGAGUCGUGAAAGUGGAGGUCUGAGAGAUCAAUACUAGAAAUUGCGGUUGUCUACCCAGGUCUAUAUGACAGAGUGGUUCAAGUCCCCAUUAUUAUUAUUAUUAUUAUUAUUAUUAUUAUUAUUAUUAUUAUUAUUAUUAUGUUCAAGUCCCCCAUAUCUUAUUACAUGAUAUUGUGCUCAUGACGCCUUAUAUGCAGGGAGGUUCGAGUCCCCUAUAGUGUAUAUGUAUAUACCCUCUGGUUCAUGUAGCCACACGCACUAGGGGCCUACCAGCUGGGGGAGAACUAGGCCCAUAUAGCCAGUUGUUGUCUUGUAUGUUAUGAUGGAUGAGUUAUACAAUCCAGGCUAACGUUUGAAUGUGCAUAUUAAGCCUUGUUCCUUAUCCCAACAUAUGAGGUAUAUAUGUAUAUGCAGUUGAAUAUGUGCAGUGGUUUUGAAUAAUUUUGAAUUGUUGAUUAUAGCAUUAUGUUAUCCUUAUCUCAGAGUUACAUGCUAGUGUUCACUCCACUAAUCAUCUUUGAAUGUUGUAUUCUCACGCAAUGUAGGUAUCAGAGAUACCUCUACUUUUCUUGCAGAGAGUUAGGUGGAGUGACUCUGUUCGUCAAUUCAUUAUGGUGAAAUAGUGAGCUUUUAUACUUUGGAAGACUUUGAUAUUUCAUUAGACCUUAUCAUAGACUAGAUUUGUGAGUUUCAUUGUCAUUUUAAUUCUCAUUAUCAUCUAUUAAAGUAGGAGACAUAUCCUGACCAAGAUUGGCUUUGGUUCUUUGUUUAGAAGGCUUUUUUUGGAUUACUGUGAAUAUUGGGUGAUGUUGGUUAGUUGUUUAUUUGGUCACCAUCCGUCGGUUAUAAACAUGUUUUGAAUUUCGUUAAGCUUAUUUCAUGCUAUCUUAUUAUAUGUUCUGAAUUCAUCCAACAUUGAGGGAUGUUAUGUUUAGUUUAGUUAGGUGCAGGGUGAUCUCUAGUCCAUGUGGGACUUAAGAUACCCAUCACGGCCAGUCCUUGGUUUGGAUCGUGGUAGCUUAUUUCAUGACUUAUUAAGAUUUGGAGAAUUUGAGUUUAUUCAUUGUUGAGUUGAUUAUUGUAUAUUGUUGAUUUUUUUUAUGAUCAUGCAUAAUCAUUCAUCACUCAUGUUCAUGGAACAGGUUUUACCACAAAACUUUGAUUCUUUGAAAAAUAAAUCAUUUUAUAAAAUGCCUUAGUCGAGGGAUAUGCCGAUAAAGCUGAUUGACAAGAUUUUGCUUAGUAUAUGGGCUACAAACUCUCUAUGGAUUCUCUCUUUGAGCUUAGGCUCAGAAGGUGUAUACAGGUUAUACUAUGCCCAUUGCAUUUCAUCUCAUAUCACCAUAUUACAUUGCAUUGCAUGUUCUUUUGGGUGAUAUUGUGGUUGAAAUAUUAUUAUGCAUUACGUAUUGAUCACGGCUUGGUCCUUUGUGACUGUUGUGUCAUAUCUAUUGAUUGUGGUAUAUGAAUUUUCUCUAUGUUACCCUGAAUUAUUAUUUUGGUAUAAUGAGAGUGUAUAUAUUAUUGUAUUGGUGAAUUAAUUCCCUAACAUUACUUAUUCUACUUCUAUUGAUAUAAACAUAUAUGUGUCGGCCUUACUUAUGUGUUACCGUGGUAAUAGUGUUAUCUGCUAGAAUAGGGGGAACAUUUUGAGUACAACGGGUAAAAUGGAUAGUUAGUUUGGUGAUAUUCGCCCUUGCCAUUAGUUUAAUUUAGGGUUGGCUAUUGAUGAUGCUUGUUGAGUACAUGUUUUUCAUACUUACCCUUGUUUUUUCUUUCUCUUUUCUGCAUCACGUGCAAGUAUUGAGCGAGUAGUGGAGCAUUGAUUAUGUUCUCCAGUGUAGGAUUUAUGGAGAUCGAGGUAGCAGUUAUUGGAUCAUAGAUCUUACACAAAUCCCUCUUUCAUUUAUCUUAUGCAUUUAUUCACACAUAAGAUAUUGGGAUUAGAGGCUUGUAUUAGUGACAACCAGACAUGGAAUGACGUGUUGAGAUUACACUUCUUUUUGUAUCUUUGGGGAUUAUUUUUCAUUUCUUAGUAUUUUCUACUUUAAUUUCACUUUGAUUAUUGUAUUUGGGUUGGGAUUGACUAGCCUGUAUCAGAGGGUGUGACAGAUACCAGCACGGGCUCUAUUUUGGGUCAUGACAACUUCAUACUAAAUAAUAAAAAUGUCAUCCGACCCUAACCUACUCUAUUCCCUCUUAGUAGUAUGGGAAUAAAUUUGCUUAUUUAGGUAAUUUUUUAAGAAUAAAUUGCAUGGCAUAAGAAACUUAAGCUCUUAACCUCUAAUAUAUUUGGAAGCAAAUUCCCUAAUUCAUUUUAAACCCUACACCAAUGCCCCUCUCUCCCAUUUUUACUCCCUCCACCAUCUUCAACCAUUCCCACCACAAUGCUAUCACCACCAAUGAAACAGCGACAGAAUUCCACCAUGAACACCACUGUCAUCUCUUUUAACUACCAACCACUCUUAUCUCCAUCUCUACCCCGUUGGUCAUUCAAGUACCAUCCACCAAGAACGAUAUCGCUCUUUUCUCCCUCUCUUCCCCAUGUCGAUCCACUCAAUUCCUCAAUCACCUCUCCACAUGAUUGAAGAUAUUUAGAGAUGACAUGUUCGCUAGUCAAAUCUGGAAUACGACAUAGCAACAAUUUUACCAUUUCUGGAAACUACAUGAUCGCUAGAGUAGUAAUUAGGUUGGAGGACACAAAUUUUCAUAGUGGCUUGUUGAACUUUCCCAAAAUUCACUAUAGUGCUAUAGUGGUGGAAUAUUUAUUUUUAAUGAACUAUUUUAUAUUUGUAACUGACUACACUGUUUGUAUUUUCAUUGUUUUAUUUUGUUUUGCAUUUGUAUUUGUAAUUGACUAUAUCAUUAUAUUUUUUAUGUAUUUAAAAUGAAACUAUUCAUGCUCUUUCUAUGAAUACUAGUAAUUGUAUCCAUUGAUACAAAAUGCUUUAUUGAUACAAAUUGAACCAUACAAAUAUAAAUAAUACAUUAAUAUCAAAUUUGUACAUGUUUAUUCAUAACUUGAACCAUACAGAUAUAAAUGAUACUUGUUUAUAUACAAAUACAAAUGAUACAUUGCAUAUUUAUAUACGGUAGACUCAAGAAAAUACAAAUAAUGCAUAUACUUGUUUUCUAUGGUACAUAUUCAUGACUAAACCAUCCAAAUAUAAAUGAUAACUCUAAAUAACAUGUGUUAUUUGACAUUAAAGAAUAUAAAAUAUAAAACACAAAAAAAUGCAAAAAGAGGAAAGAGAUGCGAGAGAUAGAAGAGAGAAAGAAAGAAAGAAAGUUAAGGAAAGAGGUGAGUUGAUAUGAGAUAUGAAUAACAAAGUGUUGCCAUGGAAAGAUUAAUUAUGGGUGUUGAAAUCGAAUUUUGGCCCUCCGUGUUUAGAAUUAACGUCUUCAGGCUCCUUGAUCGUUAAAGAGAACAAAAUACGAAUUUCACAAAUUUUUACAGUGGUUAAAAAAUUAUUGAUAAGCAUCAUAUUUUAGGAUUUUACCAAUUUAUUGUCAUUUUAAAUUUGCAUAAGUUAUUAAUGUUUAUACUUAAUUUUAUAAAUUUAGAAUUUUUAUUAGUUUAUUUCCAUUUUAAAUUUUUUGCAUAGUCAUCUACAUACGUACAUAACAUAAUACUAUAAUUCUUUUCGGACAUUAUAAUUUUAAUUAUUUAUAGCAUAAUUUUUUUUUGAAGAUAAUUAUAUUUUAUUUGUUGCUUACAUAUUUCUAGAAUUAUAUAUCAGCAUUUAUAUUUAAUACAGUCCGUAAACGACAAGCUUGUUUAAUUAUUUUAAUAUAUAGAGAAAUAAAUCAGUCAAGUCAAGAUCUUGUUACAUUUUAAAAAGGAUACACCGAGGUGAUGGGUUGGAGUUUUCAUUCCUUGAAUAAAGAGUCUUUAUUUAUUAGUUAAAAUGAAAAAUCAUCCAGUUAAUAACCUUUGGGGUAUAGAGGGGUCUAAAGUGUCAAGAGGGAGAGAUUUUUGUUUAUUGGGUAAAUAAAGGGAUCAAUUUUUAUUAUAAAUCGAAGCGGGUUAAUAGGAUAUACACAAAAAUACACACACAACACUGCGCAUAUACACACACAAAAUCAAAUUUUUUCUCUCUUUUCUCUCAUCUCCCAUGCCUCUCUCUUCUCCCAUCUCCCCUACUCCUCCACCACUGUUGGCUCACAAUAGUUGAUGGUUGGCGAGCUCCAGCCAAACACCACCACCGUUGGGCUUGCUCUUUCUCUCUUCCUCUUCUCUUUGUCGUUGCAUUUCAUCAGAGUUGAUGACAGGCGAACUCAGACCACCACCACCACGUCCUCUCUCUUCUUUCUUCUUUCUUCUCUCUUUUGCUACUGUCAUACCAUUGUCGGCUAGAUUUGGCCGAAAAUUUGUUUGAAUGAAAUUAUUUUUGAAAAAGACGUUGAAGCAACGACAAUGGUCAUCGCUACUUUAUUUUUCAUUAUAUCUGGUGAACUUGCCAGAAAACACUUAGAUUUGGAUGACUUUUGUGAUUCUGACAUUGCUCGGGCAACUGUCAUUUGAAGUAACGCUACCAUGACGCUUCAACCUUUGUUUUGAUUCUAUCUCUAUUUUGAAUUAUUAUUAUUUUUAUUAUUAUGUUGCUCUAGAAUCUACAUAGAUAUGGUUGGAGUUGCUCGUUCUCCGAUGAAACUCCAUUAAAUCUGACGAGGCUCCACUAUUUUCACUAUUUUUUCAUGACUUUAUUGAUCACAUUUACAUUUUUUCUUUUGUUAAGUUUUGCUUGCUGCUAUUUAAUAUUUGUUUCUUCGAUGUUACUCUAUUUUUGUUAUCUCUGUUAUUGAUAUGUUUUUGUUACACUCCGUUGUUGUUCUACGGACUGUUCUGUUAAUUUAAGAUUGAUUUUAAAAAAAAAAUUACUUUGAAAGUGCUUCUACUGUGCAAUUAUUUGGCUAAUUUUUGGAUUGUUUUGGAUAAUUUUUUACUUUUAUCACUUAGUCAUAUAUUACAAUGAUAAUGAAAAAUACCGCACUAUAUGGCCAAUGAAGAAACUCUCAUUGAUUUUUGAGCCCCCCAAAAGUAAAAAGACGGAUAUUACAUAUACAAAUACGUAAUAAAAUAAAUAAUUCAGGCGAUGACAAAACCUUUAUAAUAUCUAAAACUAAAUUGAAACGCACUCUUUAAUGAAAAUUCUAUUUAUACAUAAAUAUAUAUAUACAUAUAUAUAUAUAUACAUAAAUGCAUAUAUAGUUUCUCAAUUUAGUUUGAAAAUCAUUUAUUUGUUACUAAUAUUUCUACAGCAAGUGUUUGUACAGGUUCUCGAGAAUCUUUGUCGAAAAUGGCACUCUAGCAGAGAGUUUGAAUUUUAUGUUUAAAUUUUUAUGUUCUUACAAUUGUACAAAUAUUAAUCAUAGUGAAAAAAAAUUUUGGAGGGGCGUUGGGUGGGAAUGUUCUUUACUUACACAAUUCUCACUACGCGUUUAGCCAAACUUAGGUCGUUAAUAUUUGUAUAAAAAAAUAAAUUGAUUUAGAUAUUUAAUCAAUUAGUUCACACUUUUACAUUAGAAAAUAUUGCGUAACAUUUUGCUAUAAAUUUAUUACUUUAUUUAAUCUUUUCUCCCAUUGACUUUUGUUAAAUAUAAUGUAUCAUAAGGAAUAUUUUUAUUUAUAUAAGAUAAAAAAUACUUUUCUUUUCAUAUAUUAAAUAAAAAUAAUUUCUUUUAUGAAACACUUUCUUUUUAUACAUAUUCUUAUAUACUUUUGUUUAUUUUAACAUACUAUAAACAUUUUUUUAAAUAAUAUAUGUAAUUUUAGUAAAAUCUUUACAUAUAAAUUAUUUAUAUUAUUUUAAAUACACAUCUUAUAUAUUUGUACUUGCAACUAUUGAUUUUUUUUCUUCCUCUUGUGAUAAAUUUAAGACUUGCCAGGAACCAUAUAUGUGAAUUCUAAAGGAUGCCUAACCCUUUUAUUUUGAAAUAAUUUGAACUCUUACCUAAAAUCAAAUUAGUUUUCGGAGAUUGAAAUACAAGUCAUACAUGUUAAUAAAUAAAUAGGUUUUCUUAUUUUCUUAAAAAUUAUGUGGCGACUUUGUACAAAAAAUAAUUUUGUAGAGUCUAUAAGUCGUGCUUGUUUUAAUCUAGGUAAUAAUAGGGCAAGACAGGAUGGUGACUCUGCUGGGGAUUAGGUUAUAACCAUUAUAGAUUUUAGGUUAACAAUUACAAUUUUUUAAUAUUUGCUUAUUUUACCAUAUCUGCUUUAUGUGUUUAUCCUGUUUAUGGGAUACAAUUCUUUUAUUUUCUAUUAGAUAAUUGUUAAUUUGUUAUUGCUUUAUAUAAAUUGUCAUUCCGUUCAUCUUUCUUCCACUUUGGAAAAUUGACCCUCACACAUAUUGUACACGCGGAUUGUAUAUUGUUCUUUUUCAAAGUUCUUUCAAAGUACCUUACUUUAGAGAGACGAUGCAUACGUGGGGUGAGAGGAAUUUUUACUACAGUGGGACCACGUGCCUUCUCAUAUAGAAAAUCCAAGUCCAUGUCUAUCCACUCUUAGUCAACAUACGAUAGAGCUAAACCAACAACUUUUUAGGUAUAUGGAUCAUUAUGAAUUUAGGAGGCUUUAUAUAUUAGUCAACUUUAUUCAAAUAUCUGAAGGGUUCAUGACCCAAAUGACAUAUUAUCAUAAUCUGUGGACAUAUUUGAAGGAUGAUUGUACCUAUAUAAUGACUAUUUGUUAUACUUUAGUGGGAAAGUGUAAUAUAACCUUUGUUUGUAGUACGAAUUAGUUAAAAGAUCCACCUUAGCAACAUUGCCACUAACUGUGUAUAGGUCUAAACUACAUUUUGACCUGAUUCAUGUUCUGACAAGAUAUAUAGGCACUCCUAUAUGAGGGUUCAGCCUUUUCACUAUUUCAAAAUAAUUUCUUCGGUAUUUAAACUGGGUAAUUUUUUGAAACAGUUCAAAAACACUCUCUAAAAGUCUUCAAAGAGCAUAAAUAAAUAACUCCUCAAAUCCAAAUAUCAGUGACAUUAGUGCCUAGCCAGCCUACCUCUAAAUCUUCACCCAAUUUUGGUUUAAGAAUACCUAGCUUCUUCUUUCAAACGUCAUAAAUCAUUAAAUUUUUAGCAUAUCAAUCCUCACUUUCAAAAGCGAGGGUUCAACAUUCUUUCAAUCAUAACAAUCCUUCCAACUGCGGCGAAAUAAUGCCAUAAAUUCUUUAAUGUCUAACCUUUUCAAUCUUGUCAACAUACUGCAGUAGUGUCAAGGCUCUCCUCUUGCUUUGCAUCAAUUCUCUCGAUCGUCUAAUUGAAGUAAUCUUGAUGUUACAAGCAUUUCUUUCCCAGUUGACUUUCACAUCAUUUACAAGGAUGGCCACCACUUCUUGAAAAUCAUACAUGCUACCUAUAAAAUCACAAAAUUGGCCUGAACUACGGAGACCUGAUUCUUAUUUCACAAGGUACGUAGACAACCCUCAUUUGGGUUUGGUCCCAGUUUUUAAAAAAAAAAAAAUUUAACUUGGAUGGUACCAAUACAGUUAGGAGUAUGCACAAGAAAGAACAAACUGGUGUGAUGGGGAGGACGAACUUCAUGCUAAUCGUAGUUUCUUUUGUACCUUUAUAGCACACUUGAGUAACACUUGAAAAAUUCUCAUGCAUACAUCUAAAACAAGAACAAAGUCAACCUCAUCAUUCAUGUGCAUUGUGUGUUGAACUUUAGAUUAAUUCAUUACAUUGGAUUGUUG